CCUACGACAGGCCUCGGGGUCGUCCCAUAGCCAAAAAGAAGAAACCCAAGGACCUGGAGUUUUCCCAGCAGAAACUGACAGACAAGAACGUGGGCUUCCAGAUGCUGCAGAAGAUGGGCUGGAAGGAAGGCCACGGCCUGGGCUCCCUUGGGAAGGGCAUCCGAGAGCCCGUCAGCGUGGGGACUCUCUCAGAAGGAGAGGGCCUGGGAGCUGAUGGACCUGAGCAGAAAGAAGACACCUUUGACGUCUUCCGCCAGCGCAUGAUGCAAAUGUACAGACACAAACGGGCCAGCAAAUAGAUCAGAGCCACUGGCGACAGAGAUAAGCCUCGAAGCAGCCUUGCCCUUCCCGCCACCCUGCCCCGGACGCCUGCAACCUGAGCCUCGGUGUGUACUCGGUCAGCUCCACAUCCCUAGGUCAGGUUCCACCAGGCCUUGCCACUCUGCACAGUGCAGCGGCCACUCAGGCACCCUUGUCUGUCCUGCUUCUGACUCUGUCUUUCAUCUUAUUCCUCUUUGUAGGGUGGUUCCUCGGCCUUGGUGCCAGGGCCUGGCUCCUCUCUCAGGUCUCCACACAGCCCUGCCUUCCAGAGCCCUGUGCUGCUGUCUUCAGAGCUUAUCUGGAAACAGACAGGCUCCAGUGAGCGGGAGCACUGUGGAGUCUUGCUUUAGAGCAAUGGUGUCUGAGAGUUUUGCAGGCUGGGGCAGAGGAUCUAGGUCUAGUUAAAGUCCUGCCUGGCUGUGUAGCAGGGCUCUGUCUUGAGAGACUUCUCAAAAUCUUAGCCCUAAUUAAUAUAGUUGGUGGUUAGAAUAUGCCUGUUUCUGUCUCUGGAAGUGUGUUCUGAGGAAAACGCCAGUCCUUGCACCUCCAGCCUCUACAGUGUGUGGCUCCUGCAGGCGUGUGUUUGAUGCUGCAACACAGUCUCCAUGUACAGUGUCUUUCUGAAGCCUCUGGAAGGACGGCGCGGCCCAGCAGCAAUGGAUGUCUGUAUCGGAGCCCAACUCCACCUAUGCCUGAUGCCCCCAUUUGGUACAGAUACUCUUGCUGCGCCCCAGCCU
rnacentral:lncRNA from 1 species